UACGGAGGGGGCUAGCGUUGUUCGGAAUUACUGGGCGUAAAGAGCGUGUAGGCGGCCAGAUAGGUCAGCUGUGAAAACUCGAGGCUCAACCUCGAGAUGUCGGCUGAAACCAUCUGGCUAGAGUCCGGAAGAGGAGAAUGGAAUUCCCGGUGUAGCGGUGAAAUGCGCAGAUAUCGGGAAGAACACCCGUGGCGAAGGCGGUUCUCUGGGACGGUACUGACGCUGAGACGCGAAAGCGUGGGGAGCGAACAGG
rnacentral:rRNA from 1 species